rnacentral:rRNA from 1 species
AAGAGAGCUUGAUUGCAAGACAUACAGGUCGAGCAAGGAUGAAAAUCGGACUUAGUGAUCCGGUGGUUCUGCGUGGAAGGGCCAUCGCUCAACGGAUAAAAGCUACCCUGGGGAUAACAGGCUUAUCUCCCCCAAGAGUCCACAGCGACGGGGAGGUUUGGCACCUCGAUGUCGGCUCAUCACAUCCUGGGGCUGUAGUAGGUCCCAAGGGUUGGGCGGUUCGCCCAUUAAAGUGGUACGCGAGCUGGGUUCAGAACGUCGUGAGACAGUUCGGUCCCUAUCCGUCGCAGGCGUAGGAAAUUUGAGAAGACCUGUCCUUAGUACGAGAGGACCGGGAUGGACGUACCUCUGGUGUACCAGU